rnacentral:rRNA from 1 species
AGUGAACGCUGGCGGUAGGCCUAACACAUGCAAGUCGAACGGCAGCACAGUAAGAGCUUGCUCUUACGGGUGGCGAGUGGCGGACGGGUGAGGAAUACAUCGGAAUCUACUUUUUCGUGGGGGAUAACGUAGGGAAACUUACGCUAAUACCGCAUACGACCUACGGGUGAAAGCAGGGGAUCUUCGGACCUUGCGCGAUUGAAUGAGCCGAUGUCGGAUUAGCUAGUUGGCGGGGUAAAGGCCCACCAAGGCGACGAUCCGUAGCUGGUCUGAGAGGAUGGUCCGCCACACUUGAACUGAGAAACGGUCCAAACUCCUACGGGAGGCAGCAGUGGGGAAUAUUGGACAAUGGGCGCAAGCCUGAUCCAGCCAUACCGCGUGGGUGAAGAAGGCCUUCGGGUUGUAAAGCCCUUUUGUUGGGAAAGAAAAGCAGCAGGUUAAUACCCCGCUGUUCUGACGGUACCCAAAGAAUAAGCACCGGCUAACUUCGUG